rnacentral:rRNA from 1 species
GUCCACGCCGUAAACGAUGAGAACUAGGUGUGGGAGGUGUCGACUCCUCCCGUGCCGUCGCUAACGCAUUAAGUUCUCCGCCUGGGGAGUACGGCCGCAAGGCUAAAACUCAAAGGAAUUGACGGGGGCCCGCACAAGCAGCGGAGCAUGUGGUUUAAUUCGAUGCAACGCGAAGAACCUUACCUGGGUUUGAAAUGUUGGUGACAGGUGUGGAAACACAUCCUUCCUUCGGGACACCAUCACAGGUGGUGCAUGGCUGUCGU